rnacentral:lncRNA from 1 species
UUGCAUAUCAUUAGCUCAAUACUCUCUACCCCUUCCCCAUCACACUGAAAAUGGCCUCCACCGCCACUCUCUCCAGCGCCAUGGUCAGCACCUCCUUUGUCCGCCGCCAGCCGGUGACAAGCCUACGCUCCCUUCCUACCUUUAGGCAGGCUCUUUUUGGCCUAAAAGCCCAGAGAGGGGGCCGACUUACCAUGGCUGCAUACAAAGUAACUCUCCUCACUCCUGAAGGACCUUUAGAAUUUGAGUGCCCAGACGACGUAUACAUUCUUGACCAAGCCGAGGAAGAGGGUAUUGAUAUUCCAUACUCAUGCAGGGCUGGUUCUUGCUCUUCAUGCACUGGAAAGGUUACAAAAGGUUCUGU